AUUGCUAAUAUACAGAAUAAUUUUUUUCUGUACACGUUGAUAAUAAUAAUUCUCAAAUAUAUAUUUACUUAAAUACAUAUUCAACGAAAGUUAAUAUAAAGACUGUAUAACCUCAGGGGCUCACAUCUUGUGAGUACGGGCGUGGCAAGCCCGAGGUACCCUAGCUGGAUGCUCACUUUGCUUCAAGUUUUCUUGGGUGAGAUCCCUUGCUUUUGCCUUUUCUAUGAAACUCUCUUGAUGACUUUUAGACACUUGAACUCUUCGUAUUUCUGCUUCUUACCUUCUUCUCUGAGGCUCAAUGCUCAAUAGGCUCGUGCGACUGCAGUUGAUAGUCUGUAGUGUGAGAUCCACCCAUGAUCCACCCUCCUAAUUAUUUUCAAAAAAAAAAAAUUGUUCGGGUUUUUCAUUUUAUUUUAUAUGGGUAUUUUUAACGAGACCUCGUUUAAGGAGUUAGCUUUAUUAGUUUCCGAGAGAUUCCCGAAAAACAAUUUUUUUUAAGGGACAUUUAAACUUCAUUCAUUUUUAAACAAUGAUAGCUGCCCUAGUUGUAGUUAAGUUGAACUUGACCUAUAUUUUCGAAUUCCUUUUACAGUAACUUAUAUUUCAUUCAAAAGUUGCCGCUAUAAGCUCCGCCCUAAUCCAAAAUGGCCACGGUUUUCAAGUUGUCAUAUAUUAAUUUCUUAUUGGUCCAUGUUGUAUCUUGUACGGAGUAUAAUCAUUAAUCUUUGGUUUUUGACUGUCGUUUUUGAUUUAACACACAUUUGACAUCUUAAUUUGGGCAGAAUUUCUUUUUGUAUUUUUAAUAGGAAACGUUUGUUUAUUUUCUUCGCGUAGUUACAACAAACAGAUUUCAGUUAUAAGCUUUUCUCAGUCUCUCCAAACAGUAAGUGUUUAAUAUUUUGUGUUUGUUUAAUUAUUUUCCUGUCCAGAACACGGGCCAUAACGUUUAUCCUAAGGUUUAUCCCAAGUAGUGAUUGGAUUGAACGUUGUCUUCUAAUUUUUUUAUCUAUUUAACUUUAAAGUGAAUUUUUAAAUUACGCUGUAAUUUACAAAAGAAAUAAAUCACUCGUAACGGUCAAAACAAGUUUAUCAAAGUUCAAAGCAGUAUUUAUAUUGUCGGAGCUUAUGAAGCAGUGAAAUGGAGGAUGAAAAAUAGAAGAGGGAAUAAGAAGAAUAUGAAAUUAAGAUGACGAGGAGUGGAUUGAAGAUGUUUUAAGAAUUGGAGGGUGAAGAAUAAGGUAGUGUUAAAAUAACUGGAGAAUAAAAAUAAUUGGAAAAUGAGAGAAUGGUUGACCAGUUUGAGAAAGAGGUGUAGCUUUUUUUCAGAGAUCAACUACCUAUAAGAAUCUAUGAGAAAUUUUCAAGCGAAAUCAUUGCAGUGCAAGUUGUGGGAUAACAGUAUUUUGGCUACACAUUCCUUGUAAAAUGGAAUAUUUUCCAAACUACUAUGUUGGAUGAUCUUCGUGUUUGUAGAAGAGUAGUAUCAGAUGUGUGCUAUCUCAUGUCCUUAGUUUUUUAACUAUUGUAAAAGUUUAGAAACAGAAGCAUUCUUUGACAAAAUAAUUGUUAUGGAGAGAUCAAAAGGUGACGCUCCAGAGCGCGACGCUGCUUUUUUCUAUAGAAGAGACAAAUCUGCACAACAGGACAGCCACACUAUGGACGUGACGUGAAGAAUUUGUUGUUAUGCAUCUGCCUGACGUCGAUUUCGGAUUCGGGAUUCCGAAUAGAGAGGCUAGUACACCCCAGCUCAACCUAAAACCAACUAAAGAUAAUUCGCGUUCGGGGCGCGUUUAAAUCAAAGAAGAUUCCAGAUGAAAUAUUGCAAAACGCGUGUGAUUGGUCCUAAAGCUUCUUCAAUUAGUUCUCAUUAGAAUCCUUCUAUAAGAAAAAGGUAACCGCAGCUGGGCUAGGGCCAUCUUCAUCAGUUGGUAUGCGUAGGCGUUUGUGGCUAUUGUCUUCUCUUAUGUUAUUGUAAAGACGCCUAUAAUUUUGGAAAAAAUAUAUAUUGAUAAAUAAGACGAUGGAGCAGGAAAAUGAGAGGAAUAGAAGAGGACUUGGAAAAUGAUAAGAAUAGAAGAGGGAAUAUGAAAUUGAGAUGAUGGAGGAGCUGAAUGAAAAUGUGUUUAAAACAGUGGAGCGAGAAUUAUAAGUUAAAUCGCUUUUAAAUAUUCACAAGUCUCUCGGGGUGGUUUAGCUUUUUUGAGGGGACAUGCAGACAUUUUACCAGUGCAGAGCUCACUAUAAGAAAGCACUUUUCUUCAGCUGAAUAUUGCCUCUAUAAAUGGAAUAUGUUGUGUUCUAAGCACUCUUGGUUGGUCCCUCUCAUGAUUUAGAUGAUGCUAUCUUACGUCUUAGUAUUUCAGUAGAUUGGCCAACUUAUCAAGCAAUCUAGAAACUGGAAUUUGCUUGUAAAAAAUGAAAUACAUACUGCAAUAUGGCCUCAAGAGCCUCGUUUUUUCUCUCAUAUCUCACAAUGUAACAGCUGUAAAAAUUAAUUGUCCUAGCUCAUGAAUGAAUCUGGAAGUGGCAACUUUCUGUUACAAAUGUAUUUAUUUUUCUGCUUCAGGCUGUUGCUUCCCUCCUGCGCCUCCUCAUCUUCAGCUGCAUUCAGCAAGAGUUCCUCCUGCUCCUUCAUAAUAUACCAAAAGGCUGGUUCUGUAUAUUAUGUGUAUAGGCGUUUAUUUUUAUUGGUACUGUUGUAAAACUUUGAUAAUCUGGACAAACUUUAGGCUUUGAAAAUGUCAUUGUACUGCAGAAAAAAUUAUAUAGGUGAUAAUUUAUCCAUCAUUUGUCAACUAUAAUAUAUCAACUAUAUAUAAUAUCAUCAAAAUGUCAACUAUAAUAUACCUAUAAAUCAGUAAAAUAAAUCAAAAAGUCAUAUUUUGUUAUAAUAAAAUUUAUUUUCAAGUAUCUUUAAUUAAUGCAAAAUUAUGAUUAUUUUAUUGUCGCCGUCAUAAUUAUUUUUAUUUAUUUACUAACUUUUUUAGUGUAUUACCUUAUGGACAUCUGACAUCUUUCAUAUUUUUUUUAAUUCCUAUCGGUUCUAAUUAACAACCAUAGAAUUGCCAGAUUAUCAUAGUUAUUUUUUUGAAUAGUCAAUAUAUUUUAAAUUAAUGAAUUAAUUAUAUAGUGAUCAUUAACAAGAAUAGAAGUACCGUAUGAUCGAAAAAAGAAACGGCGUCCAGUUGGCUAGGAAAUGACGAUCGAUGUCAUUUCCCAUAUAAAUGUACAUAUAAAAUGACAGCGAUCUUCAUUUCAUAGCCAUCUCUGACGCCGUUUUCUUUCAAUCAUACGGUACUAUUUUGAAGCAUAUUAUAUAAAUGAAACCGACAAUUGCAUCAGUACAAUACAUUAUAUAUUUAUGUUAAAUAGGAGCAAUCUGAAGUCUGUUUCACUAGUGCUAUCUGUAUAUGCACGGCAGAGAUUAGAUUCCUAGAGAUGGCUCUCGGCGAGAUCCACUGCGGGCCACGUCUAGGAAUCACAAGAUAAAAGGUAAAAUAAAUAUUUUAAUAUAUUUUUUUAUUAAUUUACUUAAUUUAAAAGCACAAUGAAAUUAUAACUGUUUUAUAUAUUAUAUUUGUAACACAUUUCUCAAUAUUUAUCUUGUUCACGUUUGUUUCACGUAAAUUUACUCCUGUACGAAAAGAAUAUUUGAUUCAAAGCAUACAAUCUUAUACAAUUGUGUUCAUCAGCACCUAUGAUCAGCACCUUUCAAUAUAUUUUUUAAAUAUGGGUCCAAUAAGUAAAUUGGGAAUAUAUACUUCAGAGAUCGCAACUAUUCCAUAUAUUGUUUUUACUUAUGUUUUACUUACUGCGUAGGUAAAACUGUCUAUUAUUUCUAUGUUUGUAUGUUAAUAUUAGGAUAUAUUUGAUAUUAAUAAAAUGUCAGUAUUUUUGUUUCUUCGAAAGAUCUCAUACAUUGCAAUAGAAGGAGUGUUAGUGCCAAUUAAAAUCAUUUUAAUUAUUUUUUCGUCUUAGAGUACUUUCUAGAACAGUAGGUUCUGUAGUGGACUUUUGGUUUAUUUUUUGAACUGUGGCAAGUUUAUAAACCUACAAAUGUAUCUAAAUACAGAGUUAACUAAAACGUUUUAUCAAUUUACUGAGUGGGUUUUCAUUGUUGCCAUCUUAAUUAUUAUGUUUGAUAAAGUAACCCUUAAAUAACUUAGGUUAUAGACACAAGUCACGAUACAGUUAUCAAUAACAUCAUUUUUAAGUAAGCGUUUUAUAAAUAUAUACAAAUAGUUGUUACUUGAAUUACACGUUAUUUAUUAACUAACUUUUACGUCGUAUUUUGCUUAAAAAAACUCUUGAUAUGACGUAUGGGCAUCAUGCCCAAUCCUAUUAAGAUGCCAGCAAUUUUUUUUAUUAAUACUAAUAAUUGCAUUCUUACUGUUUCCCUGUUUUUUUUACAAUAUUCAGAACUCGUUUUUUAAUAGCUAAUAAAGUCUUAAAAAUUUUAUUCUUAAACAUUUCACAACAAUAUUUCUGGUAAGUAUUUCUUCAAAACGUAUAAUAUUUUUUAUAUUCAUUCUUAUUUUAUUUUUAAACAUUUUUAGCUAACUUGAAAUAUAAAACUAAAGAAGUUUUUCAAGCAUUUUAAUGUUUUUCAUUAUAAAUUGUAUUUAUAGUUCAACAUUUUCAGAUUACAGGGGUAAAACUAAUAGUAAGUUAACUAAGGUUAUGUGUAUGUUUUUUUCAUUUAUAUAGAAACCUAAUAAUAAUAAAUAAUUUUUAUUUUUAGUUAAAAAUAACUAGUAAUGUUUUUUAAUACGACUUAACUAACAUAAAUCAUUAUUAGUAUUAGAGUUUAACCGUUCGAUUUUGAGGGUGCUAAUAUAAACUUGUCACAUACCUAUACUGAACCAUCUAUAUCUUUAUGCGAAAAUGUAUGAGGUCUUUUAUUUGUGGAAUAUUAAAGGAUUGUGCUGCGGUGUAAAUCGGCGAUGUAGGAAAGGUAAGAAUUAGAAUAGUCGCUGUCUAAGAUUUUUUGCUCUACGCCUGUGUUUCAUUCAUUCUAUAUUCCUAUUUUCCGUUAAAUGAUUAAAAUACUCCAAAUAUACCACGGGCGUAGCAUAGAAACAGUCAUUCCUUGGUGCCUUAUUAUACGCUUAGUUAUACUUUUUACUUUUUUUGUAAAUAUUGAACACUUUAAAUUUUUGAAAUGAUGCAGAUUAAAUCUUAUUUCAUUUCUCUAAGAGUAUUUAAAACCAAUUUUUUUUUUCAUUUGGUUGGUACACUGUGUACCUAUGAAAUUAAUUUUUAGCUCUAGUAGUUCCUCAACGACCAUUCGCCAUUCAAAACUUCUAAAAAUCUAACCAUUUAUCUACAAUACUCUGUCGAAUAGCGCGAAUAACCAUGUAUAUAAAGUUUCGAAUUAAAGUAUUCCUCUAGUUUGAGAUAUUUAUUCUAAUAUAUUAUAUAUUAAUUACGCAUACUGUAAUCUAAUUUUUCUUAAUAUUAAAACUGAAAAGUACUACGCACCUGAAGAGUUCUAUAAAUUCUGCGACAGCUACUUACCGUCUUUACGUCAUUAUAAGCCGAUUUCAGCCCACUAAUAUCUUUUCUUUUGCAGUUGGCCUUGCCUACAACACAUUUUCAAAUUCUGUAAUGAAAAUGUGUAAUAGGAGAAAAUAUACAAAAAGGAGUAUAAGUUUAAUAUAACUUAAACUUAACUUCUUUAGGUGGCCACACCGGUGCAAUACCUCUGUAGCGACCCAGAGCCUAUGACGGCGGUGGGCGGCAUCGGAGAAUUCCAUGCACAAGCCAGCUGCCACAUAUUUUGAAUCAUUUACUGCUAGGGUCGCACUCAUGGUCGCACUGCUGCACAAUCAUUUUAGUAUUCCAGAAAAAUUUUCGCAGUUGGCCUUGUCCGCUACAAUUAUAGCGGGCAAUGAAGACUUCUGGCUGCACCGAGCCAUGGGCCAACGUGGCUUUGGAAGAACUUCCAUAUGCAGUCCAUAUUGGUCUUUUUCUCGGUACAGCCAUGAAAGAUUUGUGUUGGAGAGUGACACACACACACUCCUUUAUGUAUGCGUUUAGUACACAUGU